rnacentral:tRNA from 1 species
GGUGUGGCGGAAUUGGCAGACGCACUAGACUUAGGAUCUAGCGCCUUUGGCGUGGGGGUUCGACUCCNUUCUGCCA